rnacentral:rRNA from 1 species
GAGUUUGAUCCUGGCUCAGGAUGAACGCUGGCGGCGUGCCUAAUACAUGCAAGUCGAGCGAACAGAUAAGGAGCUUGCUCCUUUGACGUUAGCGGCGGACGGGUGAGUAACACGUGGGUAGCCUACCUAUAAGACUGGAAUAACUCCGGGAAACCGGGGCUAAUGCCGGAUAACAUUUAGAACCGCAUGGUUCUAAAGUAAAAGAUGGUUUUGCUAUCACUUAUAGAUGGACCCGCGCCGUAUUAGCUAGUUGGUAAGGUAACGGCUUACCAAGGCAACGAUACGUAGCCGACCUGAGAGGGUGAUCGGCCACACUGGAACUGAGACACGGUCCAGACUCCUACGGGAGGCAGCAGUAGGGAAUCUUCCGCAAUGGGCGAAAGCCUGACGGAGCAACGCCGCGUGAGUGAUGAAGGUCUUCGGAUCGUAAAACUCUGUUAUUAGGGAAGAACAAAUGUGUAAGUAACUGUGCACGUCUUGACGGUACCUAAUCA